GCACAGUAGGGAAUCUUCCGCAAUGGACGAAAGUCUGACGGAGCAACGCCGCGUGAGCGAAGAAGGCCUUCGGGUCGUAAAGCUCUGUUGUAAGGGAAGAACAAGCAUCGGUUAACUGCCGGUGCCCUGACGGUACCUUACCAGAAAGCCACGGCUAACUACGUGCCAGCAGCCGCGGUAAUACGUAGGUGGCAAGCGUUGUCCGGAAUUAUUGGGCGUAAAGCGCGCGCAGGCGGUCCUUUAAGUCUGAUGUGAAAGCCCACGGCUCAACCGUGGAGGGUCAUUGGAAACUGGGGGACUUGAGUGCAGAAGAGGAAAGCGGAAUUCCACGUGUAGCGGUGAAAUGCGUAGAGAUGUGGAGGAACACCAGUGGCGAAGGCGGCUUUCUGGUCUGUAACUGACGCUGAGGCGCGAAAGCGUGGGGAGCAAACAGGAUUAGAUACCCUGGUAGUCCACGCCGUAAACGAUGAGUGCUAAGUGUUAGGGGGUUUCCGCCCCUUAGUGCUGCAGCUAACGCAUAAGCACUCCGCCUGGGGAGACGCCCCU
rnacentral:rRNA from 1 species